rnacentral:rRNA from 1 species
UACAGAGGCCUCAAGCGUUAUCCGGAAUUACUGGGCGUAAAGCGCACGUAGGCGGCUUUCUAAGUCGGGGGUGAAAUCCUGGAGCUCAACUCCAGAACUGCCUUCGAUACUGGAGAGCUCGAGUCCGGGAGAGGUGAGUGGAACUGCGAGUGUAGAGGUGAAAUUCGUAGAUAUUCGCAAGAACACCAGUGGCGAAGGCGGCUCACUGGCCCGGUACUGACGCUGAGGUGCGAAAGCGUGGGGAGCAAACAGGG